AGUGCUGUAAUGAGCUACUGGAUGCUUGAAUUUCCCUCGGGAUCAAUAAAGUAUCUAUCUAUCUAUCUAUCUCUAGUAAACCUUAAAGAGAUAUUAUGACAUCUUAAUCUUACAACCAACAUAUAGCCACAUUUGAAUCUGUUCAGUGAGUCUCUCAGGGGGCUUCACUUUUCUUGACGAUUUUCUGCAUUUGGGUAGGCGCCUCAGGUGAUGGAGUCUCACGUGUGUGCUGAGGUUGUUCAGCAGCCUCAACCCUCUGCUCCACUGUUGCAGGUCCCUUGAGGAGAUCUUGGCGAUUUCGUCUCAGAAGAGCUCCAUCUUCUGUUUGAAUGCUGUAUGACCUUGGUUGAGCCUCACUCAGAACAUUUGCUUUCUGUGCCCAUGUGUUUGUUUUGUCUUUAAACCUCGCUUGGUCCCCCCAGCUUGCAGUUCAGAAUCUACUUGGCAGCUGUCACUGAACAGUUCUUUUGCUUGUACUUUCACCGUCUCAGCCACUCUGCACAGCGUUAAUGCUUUUUCCAGGUCAGGAUUUUCGUCUCUCAGCAGCCUCUCCCAUGGACUACAGUCUGGAAUCCCGCACACAAGUCAGUCCUUUAUCGACGAGUCUAGUUCAUCUUCAUCAGAAAUGGGUGAACGCACAGUGAAGCUACAACAUGUCAGACUGUUGAACUUUUCUUGACGCCAAGUAUUAGCCGUCACGCUUUCCUUCUUCCUCACUUUUCUCCUCUUCGUCAUCCUUGGAGAAAC